ensembl:snRNA U6 U6 spliceosomal RNA
GCUCACUUUGGCAGCGCAUGUACUAAAAUUGGAACGAUAUAGAGAAUAUUAGCAUGGCCCUUGUGCAAGGAUGACACACAAAUUUAUGAAAUGUUAUAUAUUUUU